rnacentral:rRNA from 1 species
UUUCUGAAAAACUCCGGUGGUGUAAGAUGGACCCGCGUCUGAUUAGCUGGUUGGCGGGGUAACGGCCCACCAAGGCGACGAUCAGUAGCCGGCCUGAGAGGGUGAACGGCCACAUUGGGACUGAGACACGGCCCAAACUCCUACGGAAGGCAGCAG